AGAAUCAACGCUGGCGGCGUGCCUAACACAUGCAAGUCGCACGAGGAAGGGUAGCAAUACCUGAGUAAAGUGGCGCACGGGUGAGUAACACGUGAAUGAUCUACCUCCGAGUGGGGAAUAACUGAGAGAAAUCUUAGCUAAUACCGCAUAACACUUACGAGUCAAAGCAGCAAUGCGCUUGGAGAGGAGUUCGCGGCCGAUUAGUUAGUUGGCGGGGUAAUGGCCCACCAAGACGAUGAUCGGUA
rnacentral:rRNA from 1 species